UACCUGAAUUAUGCUAUAUGCAUAGAACGUGCAAAAGCGUUCUGUAGUAUAACGUACAACAACGUCGGGGAUAUGCAAAUUAUCAACUAUGAUACGGAAGGUCUGCCUGUAAUACCGCCGCGACAAGCAGGCGUAGAAAUAUUCGACUGUCCAAGCGAUUGGCUGCUAAUAGCCGCCGUCCGGUUGUGUGGCGAACGUCUAAAUGAUGGCUCUAUUCUACAGGAUUUUACUUUGAAUGCGCCUGUGACAGAUGAUGGAGCGGGUCCAAUUGUAAUAUGGUUCAGAUCAGACGGAAUAUACGUCGGUCGAGGUUUCAAGUUAAGCUACCAACAAAAUGAUUGU